rnacentral:rRNA from 1 species
AGUGAACGCUGGCGGUAGGCCUAACACAUGCAAGUCGAACGGCAGCACAGUAAGAGCUUGCUCUUACGGGUGGCGAGUGGCGGACGGGUGAGGAAUACAUCGGAAUCUACUUUUUCGUGGGGGAUAACGUAGGGAAACUUACGCUAAUACCGCAUACGACCUACGGGUGAAAGCAGGGGAUCUUCGGACCUUGCGCGAUUGAAUGAGCCGAUGUCGGAUUAGCUAGUUGGCGGGGUAAAGGCCCACCAAGGCGACGAUCCGUAGCUGGUCUGAGAGGAUGGACAGCCACACCUGAACUGAGAAACGGGCCCAACUCCUAAGGGAGGGAGGCGGGGGGAAAAUUUGACAAUGGGCGCAAGCCUGAUCCAGCCAUACCGCGUGGGUGAAGAAGGCCUUCGGGUUGUAAAGCCCUUUUGUUGGGAAAGAAAAGCAGCAGGUUAAUACCCCGCUGUUCUGACGGUACCCAAAGAAUAAGCACCGGCUAACUUCGUG